UUAUCCAUCUCAUACAUAUAAUAAAGUAAAAGACCAGCAAUGAAACACUACUAUAUUGACAGAGAAGAGAACAAAGUGGAAAAAAAAAAAAAAUUUCCACAAGAAUCAGACGACGGUUUUUAUAAAAUAAUCGUCGCUUAACAUAGAGUAAGACGACGGUAUAUCUAUUUACCGUUGUCUUUAAGCAACCUAAACAAGAUAUUUGUAUUAUUUUUGAAGAACUAGGUCCGGGUUUUGGUGGCCUAACGAUGACAACGGUAGGAAAUAAAAAACCGACGUAUAUAAAAAUUUAGACGGCAGUUGGUUCCACCAACCGUCAUCGUGGUUUACAAAAAACCGAAGCCUAAUUCUUC
rnacentral:lncRNA from 1 species